rnacentral:rRNA from 1 species
GGGACGCGGGGCGGCUACACAUGCAAGUCGAGCGGUAGAGAGAAGCUUGCUUCUCUUGAGAGCGGCGGACGGGUGAGUAAUGCCUAGGAAUCUGCCUGGUAGUGGGGGAUAACGUCCGGAAACGGACGCUAAUACCGCAUACGUCCUACGGGAGAAAGCAGGGGACCUUCGGGCCUUGCGCUAUCAGAUGAGCCUAGGUCGGAUUAGCUAGUUGGUGGGGUAAUGGCUCACCAAGGCGACGAUCCGUAACUGGUCUGAGAGGAUGAUCAGUCACACUGGAACUGAGACACGGUCCAGACUCCUACGGGAGGCAGCAGUGGGGAAUAUUGGACAAUGGGCGAAAGCCUGAUCCAGCCAUGCCGCGUGUGUGAAGAAGGUCUUCGGAUUGUAAAGCACUUUAAGUUGGGAGGAAGGGCAGUAAAUUAAUACUUUGCUGUUUUGACGUUACCGACAGAAUAAGCACCGGCUAACUCUGUGCCAGCAGCCGCGGUAAUACAGAGGGUGCAAGCGUUAAUCGGAAUUACUGGGCGUAAAGCGCGCGUAGGUGGUUCGUUUAAG